UUUUCGCCAAUCGGACUCAUGUUUUGGAAGUUGGGGGGGAUUGAAUGAGUGAAGUCUUCUAGAACUGUAGAACGGCGUCUCUAACCUAUUGAUUUUAAUAGAACUUCAAUGUCAAAAUGAAGCGUGGAUACGAACAAGAAAGCCUUUACACAAUAACUCAACAUGCCGAGGAAUUUAAGAACAAGGUUAACGUGUCGAUCGAUACCGAAGAAGAAAAAUCUGGUUUCUACCAGGCCCUGAAAACAUACCACGAGUCUGGAAGUAUAACUCAGUUUAUCAAUGACAUCAAGUCAGUUAUCAACACACCAAAGAGAUACCCUUUGUACAAAGACAUCAGAUACCUGAUCAAUCCAGAACAUGUGGAGGCUUACCUGAAGAUGAUUCCCAACUCACCAAGUGAUGGUAUUCACAUGGUCCGGAUCCAGAGAACGGGACGUGAACCUAUGGGUUUCACAAUCAGAGGAGGAAAAGAACAUUGUGUUGGCAUAUUUGUCUCUCUUGUCACAAGGGGAUCACCUGCCGAUAUAGUUGGGCUGAAGGAGGGAGAUGAGAUACUGACAGUAAAUAACAUGAUUUUGUCAGAAGCUACUCAUGAUGAAGUUGUUGACCUAUUACGCUCGAGAAGGGUGUUACUGCUUAAAGUCAAAAGUAUUGGCAAAGUUCCUUGUAAAAUAAAUGAUGCUGUGACUUGGGAAGCAGUUGAGGACAAAGAUGAAGUGUACUACCAUCCUGAUUUACUUGAUCACUUGGUCCAACAAGGAACUUUGAGUACUGAGCAGCCCUUCAAGGUAUCCCCAGGUGACAAGCGUGCCUUCAUGCAUGUCGGGCACAAGGGGAUCGGAUGCAGCAUCCGGAAUGGAAUCCCUGGAAAAGACGGCCUAUUCGUGGUGUCAGUUAAUCCCGGCUCUUUGUCUGACAGAACAGGUCUUAGGGUUGGGGAUGAGAUAAUUGCAAUAAAUGAUCAACAUACUGUCAAUUUUUCUUAUUCCGAGGCUGUGUACCUGCUUAAAACUCUAAAGCAGCUCAACCUUGUUCUGAGACAUUCAAAGGAAGUUGAAGACUUUAUAUGUGAAGAGGAAGCAAGCAAUGACCAGGAAAGGGUACCUGAGUUUGCUCUCAAAACACAGCUGUUGAUGAAGAAAGCAGAGGAGAAGGAGAAACAGAGGCGGGAAAAAGCCAAAGAGGAAAUGCACUUUGAGACUCUUGCCAAGGUCAAGUCCCAAGAGAGUUUGGACAAGGAGGAGAUCUCUACCAGAUCUGCAACAGAAAGCAGCACAUCUGGGUCUAUUUCAUCAUCAUCGUCCCGGACAUCACCUACCAACCCGACAGCAACUGAUGCUUUCCAAACACCCAUUACCAAGACAGGAGUUUCCUUGUCUGAGAUGACGCCAAACUCCAGGAAAAAAGCGCUGUUUACUGAAAGAAUACAAAUGAUAGAGCCACUAUCUGUGUCUAAUACCAACACACCCUCAGAACUGCCUUUGCCAAUCUUCAACCCUAGUAACUGUGACUAUGGGGAAGACGUGUUGCGUGGUAGAGAAUCCAGUCUUAUCACCAUUGAUAAGGUCUCUGAUCUCGGGAUUGCUAUUGAGGAGCGUAACGGUGGCAUAUACGUGAAUCACGUGAAUACCGAGGGUUCGGCCGCACAGAGUGGUGCCCUCUACCCUGGGGACCAACUGUUGAAUGUGGAGGGCACGAGUUUGAUUGGCAUCAGCUUGGCGCAAGCGCACAAGGAGCUCAAAGAAGCCAUGGAAAGACGAUCGGAAUCACUCGAUCUAGUUGUCGCUUUGGCACCGUCCAAACAAGGAGAUCAACCAAGAAGGCGCGGUGUUAUCAAGAUAAAAACAGACAAGUCUGGCCACGAAAUAUACGACACCUGGUUGUAAUGAACUUCUCUACUGUGACUACUUUGACACCACGAGACAACAUUCGCCCAGCUUUUUGGGGAAUUGCCCCUUGUGCGUUUACCUGCUGGUCGAAAGGGAAAUACUUGACGUCGAUAACACAAGAGCUCUUUAUGACCGUCGGGACCAUCCACAACACUGUCCCAUCCGACCUGACCACCGGACGAGGAGUAUUAGACGAGGUGAUGGAUUCUCCUAAGUCGCCAGCCCUGAAAUUGCAGAGAAAUGCUAUUAUGGUUACUGAAGUAGAACAUGGCCCGUCCUGUUACGCACUGCAUGACUAUCUGUACAAGUUGAUUUGUCUGUUUUUCACAAGAUGGCCCCUCGUCCUGUAUUUUAUGACGCAAUAGGUAACGGGCAUGAUUGGUGUAUAUGGUAAAAAGUCCCCCUCCCUCGGCUUUGUGUGUAUAGUGAGAACUCUCCCAGUGCCCGGUUACCUACUGGUUGUAUAUGAUCACCGGUGGUGUCCAAAUAUCGGAGGCUUCAAGAUUGAUCUGCGUCACUCCCCCAUAGUCAGCGGGGUUCCACUGGAGGAAUGCAUCUUUCCAUCCCUGUUUUAAAACACCAAUCUGGUAAUCAGGCAAUAAUCAUCAGAUAAGCUCGUAUACGACCCACCUCCUCACCCUCACCCCUUGCCGCCUAUUUUGUUGUUGUUGUUGUUAGAUAAGUUUAUAAAAAAAAGUCCCAAACGCAUCAUAAGCCAAGUGCAACUUGCGCGGCUUAGUGGAAAAGCGGCUUCUAUAGACUACAGUGUAUAUUUGAACUUUUGAUAGGACCCCUAAAAAACAAGCAUGCUUCUAAAAUGAGUUCCAAUUAUCUUACCAUUCGAAGGCGAACAUUGGUCGUGAAAACCAUAUUCUUUUCCUCCUGUAAGAGACAAGCCGUGCCAAGAGUAAACAAAUUGUUAACCACCAGGGAAGAGAUGAAAACAUGCCCAAAUACGAAACAAAAACAGGUGAUGGUAUUAACCACUGGAAAGUAAACCACUAUUGUGGGUAGACCACUGUAAUUGUUCUGUACUCACGACUGCGACUAUCGUUUUCAGCAUCAUGCCGUGUCUAAGCACGAGAGCUUCUUUAACGUCCCUAACCGGGCGGAACCGCGGCGAGUAGCGUGUGGUGUUCAGCAGAUGUCGAAUAAGAUGAUCCUCAGGGGUCAUUUUCAACGCGAAGUCAGAGCCUAGGCGCAUUAUAAGGUGUGAAUGAGUUGAUGUGACGAUACUGCUGGUCGUGAUGACGAUGGUGCUGAUGAUGAUGAUGAUGAUUGUGGUGAUGAUGAUAAUGGUGCUGCUGCUGAUGGUGAGAGCGAUGAUGGUAAUGAUGAUAGUGCUGCUUAUGAUGGUGGUGUUGUUGAUCUUGAUGCUAUUGAUGGUGGUGAGGAUAAUAAUGGUGUGGUGAUGAUGGUUUGGUGAAAUAAUAAUAACUUUAUUCACUCUGUACUUUACACAGUUUGAGUUAAUAACUAAAGGGAAAAUAAGAAUAGUACAUUGAGUCUGGAAUCCGGAAUAACAAGUAGUUUUCGAGCCGGAUUCCAGUUAAAUAUUUAUUGUUGAUAGAACUGUGAGAAGGGGAGAAAUCAGUAAGGAAUUAGGAGAGUUCUAGAGUGAAAAAGUCGUGACCUAGUAUUGUUCAUCCAGUAAAUGACGCUUUAAAGCACUUUGAAA